rnacentral:rRNA from 1 species
UAUCUGGUUGAUCCUGCCAGUAGUCAUAUGCUUGUCUCAAAGAUUAAGCCAUGCAUGUCUAAGUAUAAGCAAUUUAUACAGUGAAACUGCGAAUGGCUCAUUAAAUCAGUUAUCGUUUAUUUGAUAGUUCCUUUACUACAUGGUAUAACUGUGGUAAUUCUAGA